AUAAAUAAUAUUCCUUUUGAACUUUUUGCCUUUUUUAAAAAAUAAAACUUUAAAUUUUAGAAUAGUUUUAGGUUUAUACAAAAGUUGCAAAGAUAGUAGAGGGUUUCCAUAUAUCCUGUACUUGGUUGCCCCUGUUAUUAACGUCUUAGAUUAGUGUGGGAUAUUUGUUACAACUAAUGGACCAGUACUGAUACACUGUUACUAACUCAAGUCCAUACUUUAUUCAAAUUUCCUUUUACCUGAUGUCCUCCUUCUGCCUCAUGAUCCUAUACCACAUGAUAUUUAGUCAUCAUGUUUUCCUCUGGAUUGUCGGUUUCUCAGACGUUCCUUGUUUUUGAUGGCCUUGACAGUUUGGGGGAGUACUGAUUAGGUAUUUUGUAGAAAGCCCUCAUUAUGGGUUUUUCUCAUGGUUAGCCUAGGUUUUUGCAUUUUGGGGAGGAAGACCACAGAGGUGAAGUACAAUUCUCAUCUUCUUAUCAAGAGUGCAUGCUGUCCUCGUGACUUACCACUGAUGAUGUCAACCUUGGUCCCCUGGUUGAGGCAGUGCUUGUCAGGUUUCUCCACAUCCUCCCCCAUCCCUCAACCCCCCAAUACUGUACUUUCUGGAAGCAAGUCACUGUAAACAGCCACACUUAGGGGGUGGGGAGUUAUGUUCUACCUUCUUGAAGGGACAAUAUCUACAUUAAUUAUUUGGAAUUUUUCUGCACAGGAGAUUUGUUCAGUUAUUUUUUCAGACAUUUAUUACUAUGAGUAUAGAUUCAUUGAUAUUUAUUUUAUACUUAUUGGGUUAUAAUUUGAUAUUUAUUAGGUUAUAAUUCAAUGUCACCUUAUUUAUUUUGUUACUCAACUCUGCUUUUUAUUUUUUUAAGUUAUAAAUACAUAUAUAUCUUAAAAGUUUAAACAGUAUAAAGGGUAUGCUGUGAAAAAUGAAUCUGUCUCCUUCAUAAUCUCCAAUCUGACCUUCCUUUCUCCGGAGGCAAUCACUAUUGCUAUAUAUUUUUUUGUGCCGCCAGAUGUAUUCUGUGCAUGUUUAAUAAAUACUACCUGUGUUUAAUAUAGCCAUCACUCAGUAUUCUCAAGGAUUGCUUCCAGAGCCCUCUGCAGAUAGCAAAAUCUGUGGAUGCCCAAGUCCUGCAGUUGGCCAUGUGGAAUCUGCUGAUAUGAAAAGUUGGCAUUCCAUAUCCAAGGGUUCUGCAUCCUGAGAAUACUGUAUUUUCAGUUCGAGGUUGGUUGAAUCCAAGGAUGCGGAACCUUUGGCCACAGAGGGCCGACUGUAGUGCCUUUUCAGUUUUAACUUGGAUAAAAUGAUUAGGCACAACAUCAACCUGGUACUAGAGGAGGACGGAUUCACAAGAAUUGAAAAUUGAUGGGGAAGAAAAGGGGAAACGAACAUUUUUGAGUGCCUACUGUGGGCCAGGUGCCCAGCUAGGUGUUUUACAAUUCUUUAAUCCUCUCAGCACCUUUUUAAGGAGUGUAUUGUUAAUGAAUUGAACAUUCAAAUAGAAGAAUUCCCCAUUAAAACACCAGUCCACCGCUGUUAACCUUUA